AAAUGUGCCACUUGUAUCAAGAUAAUGAUUAUUUUUGAAGAAAUGAAUGUUUGAGUAUUCCAUUAAACACGGAACGCCCCUUACGCAUGCACGGGAGCUCUCAAGUGGGUCAUAUGAAAUUAUGAAAUGGGUCAUUCGGUGAUCCGCGGGUCAUAGGUUGCCGAGCCCUGUCUUAUACCCAUCUGACAAGAAAGGGAGUGUAAAAAGCUUUUACAUGAAAAACAAGUGCAAAAGCCAAAUUGUGCAUAUUCGGUUACCGACUUCUUCAGUCGACUCCUUGAUCGUCACUAGUCCUCUUUCAAGUUUCAUUGAUCCCCAGUCAAUAUCGACACCAUUGGGAACAAGUAGGGACGAAGAUAAAAGAAAAGUAAAAUUUUUUUUCAUUUGCGAACAGAAGACUGGUUCUACCGAGGAUGAUAUU